rnacentral:rRNA from 1 species
CAGGCCUAACACAUGCAAGUCGAGGGGCAGCAUUAUCGAAGCUUGCUUUGAUAGAUGGCGACCGGCGCACGGGUGAGUAACGCGUAUCCAACCUUCCCCAUAGUAGGGCAUAGCCCGUAGAAAUGCGGAUUAAUACCCUAUGUAUUCCGAGGAUGACAUCUGAUUCGGAACAAAGGUUCACCGCUAUGGGAUGGGGAUGCGUCUGAUUAGGUAGUAGGCGGGGCAACGGCCCACCUGGCCUACGAUCGGUAGGGGUUCUGAGAGGAAGGUCCCCCACAUUGGAACUGAGACACGGUCCAAACUCCUACGGGAGGCAGCAGUGAGGAAUAUUGGUCAAUGGGCGCGAGCCUGAACCAGCCAAGUAGCGUGGGGGAUGACUGCCCUAUGGGUUGUAAACCCCUUUUGCGCGGGGAUAAACCGCCGGACGUGUCCGGCGCUGCAGGUACCGCGCGAAUAAGGACCGGCUAAUUCCGUGCCAGCAGCCGCGGUAAUACGGAAGGUCCGGGCGUUAUCCGGAUUUAUUGGGUUUAAAGGGAGCGUAGGCGGGAGAUUAAGCGUGCUGUGAAAUCCGGCGGCUCAACCGUCGCGAGCAGCGCGAACUGGUUUCCUUGAGUGCGCGGGAGGCAGGCGGAAUUCGUGGUGUAGCGGUGAAAUGCUUAGAUAUCACGAAGAACCCCGAUUGCGAAGGCAGCCUGCCGUAGCGUUACUGACGCUGAAGCUCGAAGGUGCGGGUAUCGAACAGGAUUAGAUACCCUGGUAGUCCGCACGGUAAACGAUGGAUGCCCGCUGUCCGCGCCUAGUCGUGGGUGGCCAAGCGAAAGCGUUAAGCAUCCCACCUGGGGAGUACGCCGGCAACGGUGAAACUCAAAGGAAUUGACGGGGGCCCGCACAAGCGGAGGAACAUGUGGUUUAAUUCGAUGAUACGCGAGGAACCUUACCCGGGCUUGAAUUGCAGAGGAAUGCGGGAGAGAUCCCUCAGCCCUUCGGGGUCUCUGUGAAGGUGCUGCAUGGUUGUCGUCAGCUCGUGCCGUGAGGUGUCGGCUUAAGUGCCAUAACGAGCGCAACCCCUCUCCGUAGUUGCCAUCGGGUGAUGCCGGGCACUCUGCGGACACUGCCACCGCAAGGUGCGAGGAAGGUGGGGACGACGUCAAAUCAGCACGGCCCUUACGUCCGGGGCUACACACGUGUUACAAUGGGGCAUACAGAGAGCGUGGCCGCCGGCGACGUCGGCCGAAUCAUUAAAGUGCCCCUCAGUUCGGAUUGGGGUCUGCAACCCGACCCCAUGAAGCUGGAUUCGCUAGUAAUCGCGCAUCAGCCAUGGCGCGGUGAAUACGUUCCCGG